GAAACAGCAGCUCCACGCCGGGCACUCACAGCGUGUGUCCGCAGACGUUGACCAUGAGCUUCAGGGAGGGGUUGCGGUACUUGGUGGUCUUGCACCGCGGGCAGCCCUGGUCGUCCAUGGCCGCCGCCGCCGCCUCCCC